AUGGGGGUGGAGACGCUCCAUCAGGUAUACUGGGCCGAGGCUGUUUAGGGCUUUAAAGGUCAACACCAGCACUUUAAAUUGUGCUCGGAAACGUACUGGGAGCCAAUGUAGGUCUUUCAAGACCGGUGUUAUGUGGUCUCGGCGGCUGCCCCCAGUCACCAGUCUAGCUGCUGCAUUCUGGAUUAGUUGUAGUUUCCGGGUCACCUUCAAAGGUAACCCCACAUAGAGCGCAUUGCAGUAGUCCAAGCGAGGGAUAACAAUGCUCAAUAUCAGCAAAGAAGCACAUGACAAGCCCCCCCCCCCAAAUGAUUUUUGGUUGUGUUUGGUUUUUACAGCUUCCACUUGGAUCAGGCUUUCUUUCUGUCUUUUCUCUCAAGUGCUUCAUGACCAGCUUGAUAGGUCCUGGUGGAUUCUGCAUGGAUUUGACAAGAGAGGUGUUUGUCAGGUUCAGGUUAUCGAGAGCCGAAAAAGCAGCUUCCAAGGCUGGCAUUGGCUCCGGUAGGUUCCCCUCGCACUCCUCCGGUAAUCACAUCAAAUAUAUUCGCAGAACAUGGUCAGGAUGCUACCACACAGUCCAGUGGAACAAGAACUUUGCAAGAGCAACCCUUUCCUUUCUUACUGCAGCUGCAGCCACUGGAUGUGUCUUGACUGGAAUUGAUUGAGGGCACUCUUGGUGGCUGGUCCCCACCUGUCAAAUGCACUCCCUGGCGCAAUGGGCACAUGCUCAACCAAAGAGUUUUAGAACUCAGUAGGGAUUUGAACCCUGGGUGCCCCGGUCUAACACUCUAACUGUAUCACACUCACUCUCUGGUGACCCCACAAAAGCAGAGCAGUUUUAGCCCAACAUUACUUUUAGCAUAUGUGUGUUUGGAAGAAAUAGUUUCUCCCUGCUCUGGGGUAAAUAGCAGCCCUGGGGAGGCAGAUCAGAUCUGGGGGAGGGGGGCGGGCAAGGGGUUGAAUCCCCUCUCAGCAACAUCAUGUUCCCAGUGUGACCAUCCCCUCUUAUGUCGCUGCUCUUUAGUUAGAAACCAACCAAGGAAGGGCACAUCUUGUGCUGACAGUGCAGCCCUGUGCAUAUUUAUUCAGCAGUAAGUCUUAUUGAGUUCAAUGGGGCUUACUCUCAGGUAUGUUGGCAUAGCAAAGGAUGGAGAACCCUCUCUCCCCCCCCCCCAGCCCCUCACAGUUCUCCUCUAGCAACACUCCCUCACUUUUUCCCCCAACUGUUUUUGUCUGACCGGACUGUGUCCAUGAACUCUGGCAAUGCCCCUUGCUUGUCUGGACAGGGUGUGGAUAUGAAGAAACCAGCCAGCUGUACAAAAAGUAAAAUGGGCAUUUGUCACCCCUUCCACUUCUGUCUCUGGCCCUGCCCACCACUAGCAUGUGGCCCUCAGAAGGUUGCCCGGGAGGAGAUGUGGCCCUUGGGCUGAUAAACAUUCCCACACUUGAGGUGUAACCUUAGGACUGGAGUCAAUGGUAGUCCUACUCAGAGCAGAGUCACUGAAAUUAAAGGACAGAACUAACUUGGGUUCCUUAAUUGCAACGAGCCUAUUCUGAGAAGAACCAGCAUUGCAUACAUUCCUCCAGGGAAACUACAAAUAGGGCAGAACCAGCACAUCACUGGUAGCUCUUUACACCUCUCUUAGUUUGGAUUUCUCAUUUAUGAUGCUGCACUGUUGAAAACAUGAGCUCUGAUGGGGAGGGAGCGCCAGGCUGCACAGCACAGUGACCUGAAUACCCUGAGCAAUAGCUGCAGCUUCAUUGGCCUCCUUCUCAUCUGCAGCCACAAGCUCCUCCUUGGCAUCAGAAACCUCAGUGGUUUCCUUUUCUAUGUGGAUCAUCCUUUUCUCCCUUUCUGCGGAGGUCUGAGUCAGUUCUGGUUGAAGAGCUGUCAGUUCCUUUGGCAUCACUGCAACCUAAAGAGGACAACAAAGACAGAAGCGAGCGUUUAAUGUGUGAAGUAGGAGUUGGAAUCUAGUCUCAGCAUUGGUUCGCACCGUGGCAAAGAGGAAUAGACCCUGCACCCACAGAGUGGACAUGGUCAUCUAUUAAAAAAGAAGCGCAGAUGAAGAUUGGUCUUUAACAGAAGGCACAGUCAUCCAUGUAGACCUGUGUCUUGGGCGGAUCCAGUAAUCCUAGGCUCCACUCUGUCAUGUGCCAGCCCUCCUCCAGGCCUCCAGUGCCUAAGCCAAAUCCAACCUACACCCGGAAUCAAGACUUGGUGGCGCCAACCAUGGUCCUUACCAAGGCAACCAGGAAAAGACCAUGCAGCCACGGAGUGGACAUGAUAAUCUACCGUAUUUUUCGCUCUCUAAGACGCACCAGGCCACAAGACGCACCUAGUUUUUGGA